ACGAUGAGUGCUAAGUGUUAGGGGGUUUCCGCCCCUUAGUGCUGCAGCUAACGCAUUAAGCACUCCGCCUGGGGAGUACGGUCGCAAGACUGAAACUCAAAGGAAUUGACGGGGGCCCGCACAAGCGGUGGAGCAUGUGGUUUAAUUCGAAGCAACGCGAAGAACCUUACCAGGUCUUGACAUCCUCUGACAAUCCUAGAGAUAGGACGUUCCCUUCGGGGGCAGAGUGACAGGUGGUGCAUGGUUGUCGUCAGCUCGUGUCGUGAGAUGUUGGGUUAAGUCCCGCAACGAGCGCAACCCUUGAUCUUAGUUGCCAGCAUUCAGUUGGGCACUCUAAGGUGACUGCCGGUGACAAACCGGAGGAAGGUGGGGAUGACGUCAAAUCAUCAUGCCCCUUAUGACCUGGGCUACACACGUG
rnacentral:rRNA from 1 species